rnacentral:tRNA from 1 species
UGCGGGGUAGAGCAGUAGGUAGCUCGUCGGGCUCAUAACCCGGAGGUCGUUGGUUCAAGUCCAACCCCCGCGACCA